rnacentral:rRNA from 1 species
AUUGAACGCUGGCGGCAUGCUUUACACAUGCAAGUCGAACGGUAACAGGCCGCAAGGUGCUGACGAGUGGCGAACGGGUGAGUAAUGCAUCGGAACGUGCCCAGUCGUGGGGGAUAACUACUCGAAAGAGUAGCUAAUACCGCAUACGAUCUAUGGAUGAAAGCGGGGGACCGUAAGGCCUCGCGCGAUUGGAGCGGCCGAUGUCAGAUUAGGUAGUUGGUGGGGUAAAGGCUCACCUAGCCAACGAUCUGUAGCUGGUCUGAGAGGACGACCAGCCACACUGGGACUGAGACACGGCCCAGACUCCUACGGGAGGCAGCAGUGGGGAAUUUUGGACAAUGGGCGCAAGCCUGAUCCAGCAAUGCCGCGUGCAGGAAGAAGGCCUUCGGGUUGUAAACUGCUUUUGUACGGAACGAAACGGCUCUGGUUAAUACCCGGGGCUAAUGACGGUACCGUAAGAAUAAGCACCGGCUAACUACGUG